GCUCUCGUAGGUUAAUGGAUAAACUUUGGGAUUCCGGAUCCUAAGCUGCGGGUUCGACCCCCGCCGAGAGCG
rnacentral:tRNA from 1 species